GUAAAGCACAGUGAGACAGCAGCCACGAUCAGUGCUGUCCUUGUAUUAAGGGAUGCGUUUCCCUCUGGCGUGUUGUGUGUGGAUGCUUCUGUCUUCUAAUUUUGCUUUUGGCGAUGAGAUGCAUACAUCAGUAAAUGCCACUACAACUCUGUACUACCAUCAAGAAGAUUCUGCAAAUAUCAGCUGCAGUUAUUUACCAUCAAAUGAACUUGAUAUAUUCACAGUGAAACUUGAAAAAAAUAACAAAUCAUUGUGUUUAUACAUGCGUAUAAACAUGGAGUUAUGGAAAAAUCAAUCUUGUGAUUAUCAUAUCAGAUUUAUUUUGAUUCCAGAGACUUAUGAAAUAUUUUUUGAGCUAUCAAAUCUUCAAAUAACUGAUUCUGGCACAUAUACCUGUACUGGCAGGAGAUUGACGCCACCACCUGAAACGAUUCUGUGGGAAGAAAUAACAAAAGUCAAUG